UGGGGAAUUUUGGACAAUGGGGGAAACCCUGAUCCAGCCAUCCCGCGUGUGCGAUGAAGGCCUUCGGGUUGUAAAGCACUUUUGGCAGGAAAGAAACGUCGCGGGUUAAUACCCCGCGAAACUGACGGUACCUGCAGAAUAAGCACCGGCUAACUACGUGCCAGCAGCCGCGGUAAUACGUAGGGUGCAAGCGUUAAUCGGAAUUACUGGGCGUAAAGCGUGCGCAGGCGGUUCGGAAAGAAAGAUGUGAAAUCCCAGAGCUUAACUUUGGAACUGCAUUUUUAACUACCGGGCUAGAGUGUGUCAGAGGGAGGUGGAAUUCCGCGUGUAGCAGUGAAAUGCGUAGAUAUGCGGAGGAACACCGAUGGCGAAGGCAGCUUCCUGGGAUAACACUGACGCUCAUGCACGAAAGCGUGGGGAGCAAACAGGAUUAGAUACCCUGGUAGUCCACGCCCUAAACGAUGUCAACUAGCUGUUGGGGCCUUCGGGCCUUGGUAGCGCAGCUAACGCGUGAAGUUGACCGCCUGGGGAGUACGGUCGCAAGAUU
rnacentral:rRNA from 1 species